GCACCUGUGGUGUAAGGCGUAGCAUCGCUGCCCGUAAUGCAGAUGAUGCGGGUUCGACUCCCGCCUGGCGCA
rnacentral:tRNA from 1 species